rnacentral:rRNA from 1 species
GGCCUUCUGGGUUGAAACUGCUUUUGUCAGGGGAUAAAAAGCUCGUGCGCGAGAAAUUGAAUGUACCUGGCGAAUAAGCCACGGCUAACUACGUGCCAGCAGCCGCGGUAAUACGUAGGUGGCAAGCGUUGUCCGGAUUUAUUGGGUUUAAAGGGUGCGUAGGCGGUCCUGUAAGUCAGUGGUGAAAUACGGCAGCUCAACUGUCGAGGUGCCAUUGAUACUGCGGGACUUGAGUGUUGAUGAGGUAGGCGGAAUUGACGGUGUAGCGGGUGAAAUGCUUAGAUAUCGUCAAGAACACCGAUAGCGAAGGCAGCUUACCAAGCAGCAACUGACGCUUGAGGCACGAAAGUGUGGGGAUCAAACAGGAUUAGAUACCCUGGUAGUCC